rnacentral:rRNA from 1 species
CCUACCUUAUAUUGGGGGAUAGCCCAGAGAAAUUUGGAUUAAUACCCCAUAGUAUGCUGAAUUGGCAUCAGUUUAGUAUUAAAGAUUUAUCGAUAUAAGAUGGCUAUGCGUUCUAUUAGCUAGUUGGUAAGGUAACGGCUCACCAAGGCGACGAUAGAUAGGGGUCCUGAGAGGGAGAUCCCCCACACUGGUACUGAGACACGGACCAGACUCCUACGGGAGGCAGCAGUGAGGAAUAUUGGACAAUGGAGGCAACUCUGAUCCAGCCAUGCCGCGUGCAGGAAGACUGCCCUAUGGGUUGUAAACUGCUUUUAUAGAGGAAGAAACCGCUCUACGUGUAGAGCUCUGACGGUACUCUACGAAUAAGGAUCGGCUAACUCCGUGCCAGCAGCCGCGGUAAUACGGAGGAUCCAAGCGUUAUCCGGAAUCAUUGGGUUUAAAGGGUCCGUAGGCGGGCUUAUAAGUCAGUGGUGAAAGUUUGCGGCUCAACCGUAAAAUUGCCAUUGAUACUGUAGGUCUUGAAUCAUUGUGAAGUGGUUAGAAUGUGUAGUGUAGCGGUGAAAUGCAUAGAUAUUACACAGAAUACCGAUUGCGAAGGCAGAUCACUAACAAUUGAUUGACGCUCAGGGACGAAAGCGUGGGUAGCGAACAGGAUUAGAUACCCUGGUAGUCCACGCCGUAAACGAUGGUUACUAGCUGUUUGGACUUCGGUCUGAGUGGCUAAGCGAAAGUGAUAAGUAACCCACCUGGGGAGUACGUUCGCAAGAAUGAAACUCAAAGGAAUUGACGGGGGCCCGCACAAGCGGUGGAGCAUGUGGUUUAAU